UCAAGGGUCACCCCCUGGAGAAUUCCACCCACACGGCGCUGGGGGCCAAGUGCCGACGUGUGAUCACUGGUGGGCCUGGCAACUCGGCCAUCUGGGCUUGGCUCAGCUCCAGGGCCAGGAGAAGCGAUUUCACAGAUAGGGGUGGGAUCACCCCAGUGCCCUGGGAAACUUCCUCCCACACAAUUCAGUUUGUUUGGGGGCAUGGAGGCAACAGAAUCUAGGAACCGGGCUCUGUGCAUUCGAACAUGCUGGCAGCAUCCUUGGGCCCAAUGCCAGCCCCGCAGCGGAGAUGAAGCAGGCUGGGACACUCACUAAGACCCGGGAAGGUGAACUUCAUCAGUAGCGGGGGAAGAAUACGGUUCCUGGGUUCCUGGUGCGAUUACUCAGGUCCCCCGCCCAAAGAUGUCUGUGCCUGCAGGAGCUGGGAGGGCAGAAAUCCAAGCCUCAAGCUCUGGAAUGGACAACAGAAGUGCUCCAGGAGCGAGGAAAGGAUUGGAGUGGAGGAGGGGUGCUGUGGCAAGCAGAAUUGUUAUGAAGGAUGAAAAAGAUGAUGGACAUGAUUUGCCCGGGACUGUGCGUGACCUAAAGGAGACUUUUAAAAACUGUUGGAAAGGGGCAUCUGGGUGGCUCAGUGGGUUAAAGCCUCUGCCUUCGGCUCAGGUCAUGAUCUCAGGGUCCUGGGAUCGAGCCCCACAUCGGGCUCUCUGCUCGGCAGGAAGCCUGCUUUCCUUCCUCUCUCUCUGCCUGCCUC